UCUGAUAAUUAAACAAUAAGUUACAGUAAUUAAUCAAAGCUCUUAAUAAAAUCGUAAUUAUACUCACAUAAUUAAUCAAAGCUCUUAAAGAAAAAUUUGUGAACAAUAUAUUGUGCUGGCAAAGUUGAUGCCAUGUGACUAGGAGGUCACAGGUUGAAGUCUUGGAAACAGCCUCUGACAAAAAUGCAAGAUAAGGCAUGAUAUACGCUUGUGGUGGGGCCCUUCCCCACAUACCGCAUAUAGUGAUAGCUUUAGUGCACCGGACACUGCCCUUUUUUUAUAUUGUGUAAGUGAAAAGACAAUAGGAGAAAAGAAUUAUGUAUGAGAAGUAUUUACGCAAGCACGAUUAUAUGAUCAGUUAAUAUGUAGUAAAUUCAUGAUCAAACACAAUCAAGUUAUAUAAAGAUCGGUUUUAAUCUUUUUUCAUACACUAAAAAAAAAGUUAGUGAAUUCAUACCUUAUUAUUAUCACCACCCAUGGUUGAUACUUAGGUUGAAGAACAAUGAAUUUGUGUGGAGAGAAGAAAGGUGUAGUUUUAUUGAAAAUAUAUAGUAUGGAAAGAAAGAUCAAAAAGCCAAGAAAAAAUAAUUGGAAAAUAGAAGGAAUAAAGUUGGAACACGUAAUUAAAUUAAAUGGGAAGUUGGAAACUUAUUAUGAUAUCACCAAAAUUGGCAGCCACUAAAAUUGAUGAUUAUAAUAUAUACUUUCAAUUAGCAUGUACUGGCUUUGAUGGUAACAUAUUACCUUCCCUUUCUUACCAAGCAAAUGUAUAUAUGUACUGUAUCCGUACGUAAUUCCGUAUUCGUAUCGAGGUCUGAUUAAAUUCAGGUCCGUACAUUGCAGAGGAUAUAUCCAAAGGCGGAGUCAGAAUUUCAACUCAGGGGGUUCAGUAGGCGGAGUCAGAAUUUCAACUCAGGGGGUUCAAUAUUUGAAGAAAACCUAGUCGAAGGCAGUGGCGGAUCCACCAUGUAAUCAGGGUUCAUCCGAACCCCUUUCGACGGAAAAUUAUAACAUUUUUAUAAGGUCAAAAAUAUUUUUAUAUAUAUAUAUAUAGUAGAUGUUGAACCCCCUUCGAUUAGUCCGUAUGUUUACUUCUGAACCCCCUCAAUGAAAAUCCUGAUUCCGCCACUGGUCGAAGGGGGUUCGAUAUUUGAAGAAAACCUAGUCGAAGGGGGUUCAACACCUACAAUAAAUAUAUAAAAAAUAAUUUUAAGCAUAUAAAAAUAGUAUAUUUUUUCGUCGAGAGUGAUGACGCUAGCAAGAUUUUUUUCAUUCAUAAGGACUCAAACUAGGAAUGUUUGAUUAAGGAUAUAGAAAUUUCAAUCCUUUCACCAUUAUCGAUGUUGGUACCAAGCAAAUAUUAUUGUUUAACUGAAGUUGAUACGUUUAUGUGAUCAGAUCAUUUAUAAAAUAAUUAUAAGUAAAUGUUAUGACGAUAAGCAUAACCAGAUAAAAUGGUUGGUAAUUAAUUGAUUAUAACAUGUUAAAUUGGAAAAAUAAAAGAAUAUUUACAUUAUUGUCAAUAGGAGGGUGGCUUUCGAGUUUGACAGAAUUAAAUAAUUAUAUAUAUAUAUAUAUAUAUAUCAAUUGAGUUGGUGAAUUACCACCCCCCCCCUUCUUGGUGGCUAACUUAAUCUUUAAUUAGUUAUUCAAUUUUACCUAAUUUGUAAUCAUAAAUCUUUCCACCUUUUUCUCUUCUACAAAAGAGUGUAAAUAGUGUAAAUGAAUAUAAUUAACAUAGUUGACUCUUAAAUGAAUGGACUGAUUACAAAAGUUACAAGUGUAAUGUGAUCAUUUAGGGAAGGCCAAAUGUUUUUUAGAGAUAAAAUUAAAAUUUAUGGGUUUGUGUUACAUCAGUCUCAGAUUAUAUAGAAUAAUAGUAAUUGAGUUUAUAAUUAAAUAUUUAUAAACAUUUAAAUAAAAGAAGUUAUAAUAUAAAAAAGUCAAAGGUCAACAUCAUUAGUACUAAAAAAAAUGUGUGGUUCUUUUAUUUUAGGUAGAAGUUUAAUGCCAAGGUGGGUAGUGAGGGGACCAAACUCUAAUUGAUAAAAAGGCAAUAGCAACAUAUAUUAAAUAUAUAAAGUAUACAAAUGGAGAGAUUAUUUUCAUAAAUUCUCUAUUUUAGAACAGACAAAAGAAAAAGAAUAUAAUUGUGAAUAAGUAAUGAUAAAAACACUCGAGAAAAGAAUAAUAACACGAUAAAUGAUAUCGUAAUUGAAACAAAGAAAAUAUAACAAGUAAAAGACUCAUCAAAGGGAAAUACAUAUAUGUCGCCAAGGUGACCUCACUAUCCAUGGACAUGCCAACACAAGUUGAAUAGAAAAACAAAUUGAAAGGAAUAAUUGUCUCGAAAAUACGUAAGUAAAAAUCAAAUAAGUAAUUUUAGAGAGAUCAAGCUUUCUGUACAAAUAAGUCCAUCCCACACGGUAGUAUCGCGCUGAUGUAAUAUUUUGGUAUGACUGAAAAAAAAUUGAUACAUUUUAUGGUAAUGGAAAUAUGUCAUGAUGCCAUAGUCUUUCUGGCUGUUCUCGAAGAGGGAGCACAAUUGACUCGUUCUCUUAUAAUAAUACUAGUAUGUCCGUGCCCGUGCAAUGCACGGGCUAAAUUAGUAUAUAAGAGCAUUUGUUAUUAUCAAAAAUAUUAUUGGGUAAUUGUAGAAUUGUAAACUUACAUGUACUACCAAUAUAACUAUUGCUAUGCCUUUUUCUACCUUUCUGGAUAAUUUGGGUGUUUAGCCAAUCAGGUCUUCAACGCAUUUCAGGUCAACAUUACUUAUAACUUCAUUAGUGCAUCCUAUCUCUUUAUAACAACAUUUCACUAUAUAUAUAUAUAUAUUUUUCUGUAUGUCUACAACAAAUGAAUAACAUCUUUUUAUAUAUCUAUAUCUAUUACUUUCUAAAUUUGAGGGUAAUGUUCAAAGUCUUAAUGGAAAUGAUAGGUAUGCCUUGACAGACUCUUUUAGGAAUCCCGAUCAUACUCGUACGUUUGUAGAAACACGAGAGAAAUGGCUUAUUUUCAGAGAAUGAGCUAUUUACGAUAUAGAUUGUUUAUGUAGUGUAACAACAUACAGUCCAUAAUGCAUAAAGACUCUUAUGUGAAAUGUUACAAUCCAUAACUAAUUGUAACAUUGCAUAAGAGAUAGGAACCACAGUAGUGUUACUAAAUAAUGAAAAGCUGAUAAGAUUGUACCUGAGCAUAUGAACAAGGAUUGGGAUAAGCUUCAGGUUCUGUAGAAACAGCAUCAAGUAAAACCAAUAGCAAAAUUAACAGCAGGAUAAAGAAUAGUAUUCGUAAGAGGAAUAUAAUUACAACAACCAAACCAACUCAAUAUAUAAUAUACCCACUGUAAUCGUACAAGUGGGAUAUAAAUACAACUGCUUCCGAUAACAAAUUGAAGGGAAGGAAACAUGUCUGCUGCUACACAAUAGAUACACCAAUUUCUAUACAAUUCAUGCACCAUAAAAUCAUUGAUAUCCUUCCAAUAGCUAACUUUUUAUAUAGAUUCAAAAGUUAGCUCCUUCAAAGUUGGAUGGAAGAGAUAUAUACAUUGUUUUACAUCUAUAACAAUAACAUUGAUGGGCCCAGAAAAUGACCCAUAACAAGAAGCUAAUGGCCCAUUGGGCCACACCUUACAUAAUUGAGCAUCCUGUGGCAUUUUCAUCACUGCAUAGAUAUGGAUCACAUCUGCUCACAUAACACCCUCUAUUAUAGCAAUAAGGCCCAGGCCCAUAGAUAUAUCCAUAGUUACCGUAACACGGGGGCGGCGGGACCGGUCUUCCGUACCACUGAUAACAUGGGCCCCCGGUAUGGCCUUCGUAACAUUGUCCACAACAAUAUUCUGAUGGUGGCGGAGGGCAUUUUUGAACUGGCACUGGUGGUGCUGCAACUGGGGGUGGUGGGCAUUCUUGAACUGGCACUGGUGCUGGUGCAACUGGGGGUGGUGGGCAUUCUUGAACUGGCACUGGAACUGACACUGGUGCUGGUGCAACUGGGUGCGGUUUAGGCUUAGGAGGUUUGGGCUUUGGAGGCUCUUUGAUUUCAAUGCUUUUGAUUACUCCACAUCCUUCACUACACAAUUUGUCACGUACUUUUUCAGGAUUGCAACAAAUCACAGUAAUUGUGACUUUAUUGCCCUUCUCAUCAUAUAUUUGGUCUCUAAUUUCUAUUGCCAAAAAAAAUCCCACACCACAAAAAAAACAAAAAAAAGGGAAAAAAUAAAUCAAAUUAGUUCCUAUUCAUUUCAUAAUAAAUUAAUAAGAGAAAAUACUCUAUUUCCACCUGAACUAUACACGAAAUUGAUGAGAUACACCCGAAUUUUAGGAGAAUCCUGUUACCCCGGAUUAAUUAAAACUGUAUUUUUGGCAACCUUAGUGCCUACGUGGACCUUCAGUGUGUUGAUUCACUGAUGUACCAAGUAUAUGCCACGUAGGCACUAAGGUUGCCAAAAAAUAAGGUUUUAAUUAGUCCAGGGUACAGGACCCUCCUAAUAUUUGUGUGUGUGUCUCAACAAUUUCGAGUACAGUUCAAAGUGAAAACAGAGCAUUUUCCCAAUUAAUAAUAUUGAAAAUUCAAGAUUAAAAAGAAGACUUACGAGGGAAUUUACAGAGAAUUUUUUUGACCUUCUUGUAACAGCUACAACACUGAAGAUCAACAUUGAGUACCAUGAUGGCUAUCUGUUAAUAAUUCAACAAUAAAUUACAAUAAUUUAUAAUUAAUUAAAACUCUUAAUAAAAGAUUUAUGAACAGUAUUAUGCAAGAAUGCUAGAUCGGGUUAAAGUCUUGGAAACAGUUUCUGGCAGAAAUGCUAGGUAAUGCUAGGUAAGGCUGCGUACGAUACACCCUUAUGGUGUCGUCCUUCCCGGACACCGCGCAUAGCGGUAGCUUUAGUGUUGCCCCUUUUUUUUUAAUCAUGCAAGAAUGAACCAAUUUUCUUUGUGUAUCUACGUAAGCACGAUUUUAUGAUCAAUCAAAUUUAUGAUCAAACGAUAUCAGAAUUUUUUUUCAUACACUAAAAAAGUUAGUGAAUUCAUACCUUAUUAUUAUGACCACCCAUGGUUGAUACUUAGGUUGAAGAACAAUGAAUUUGUGUGGAGAGAAGAAAGUGUAGUUUUAUUGAAAAUAUAUAGUAUGGAAAGAAAGAUCAAAAAGUCAAGAAAAAAUAAUUGGAAAAUAGAAGGAAUAAAGUUG
rnacentral:lncRNA from 1 species